rnacentral:rRNA from 1 species
UACGUAGGGGGCAAGCGUUGUCCGGAAUUAUUGGGCGUAAAGAGCGCGUAGGCGGUCCGAUAAGUCGGCUGUGAAAGUCAGGGGCUCAACCCUUGAAAGCCGGCCGAUACUGUCGGACUGGAGUCCGGAAGAGGCAAGUGGAAUUCCCGGUGUAGCGGUGAAAUGCGCAGAUAUCGGGAGGAACACCAAUGGCGAAGGCAGCUUGCUGGGACGGUACUGACGCUGAGGCGCGAAAGCGUGGGGAGCAAACAGG